rnacentral:lncRNA from 1 species
CGAAACCUGGAAUCAAUUCAAAAAAGAGAAUUACAUUCCAGAACAAAUUAAAUAAUUUUCUUUAAUUCCACAUAAGAAACUUAAUUUUUAUUAAGAGUAAUGAUAAAAUAAUAAUGAAAGAAAGAAAAAUAUAUAUGCAAGACCCCAAAAAGACAAAAUACACAAUAAUAUAGAUAUGCAACAAUACGGAUAUAGGCUUUCAUAGUCAUAGGUGGCUAUUAUAUUAUUCGAUUUCCAAUCUGCUUUCCUGAUUCUCUUUAGGUCAUCUGUAGUUGUUGUAGUGGAAUACUCAUGCCUUAAUAUCGACAUACACCAUUUAGCUAGGGUUCUUUCUAGACUGUAGGUAGAUGCUUUUUUCAACUAUUGACCUGGCUUUUAUGGGUUGCUUAUGAGUUUUAAUGAAAGUGAAUAGUCUAGGACAGGCCGGAUCUGGGAUCUUGUUAUGCCUCCAAAUUUGUGGGAAGGAACAGUUUUUUACUAAUUUGCUAAGGGCCUUAGAGAGCUUGCCUUGCUAGUUUGGUCUUCUUUUAGGGGAAUUGGGUUUGAUUGUUUGAUGUAAUCUUCUAGAAAAUUAACAUAUGUGCUCUGGUCUAAAAUGACAAUCUUUUUUGUUUUGUCCUCUCUAGUGCAUGUUAGGUUGUUCUUUUGCAUCCAGAGCAAUGUCCUCUUAAUGAAGGCCACUUCUUGUUGGUGGUGCACAUUUUGGGUUUGCGUUCUUUUUGAGUUUUUAUUUAACUUAUUUCUAACAACUCCCAUCUAUAUUUGUGCUUUUCAUUCUCUUCAAUUUCUAAGUCUAGAAGCAAGUUUUCAAUUGCCGUGACAUCAUCUAGAGGGGCUGCAGAUGCCAAAGUGGCACAGACUGGUCCUUUUUGUAUCAGCUCUUUAGCAAAGGCUGGAAGUUCGACGUCGCCAAUUAUCGUCAAAGUCUUGUCUAGGUCUACUUGGAUUUUAUUCUUUUCUUUGUUAAUGUUCUGGUUCUUAAAAAUCCAUUUAAGUUUUUUCUUAAUUAUUUAGGGUUUGUCAGUUUUAAAAACCAAGUUUUUUGGAUAAAUUUAUAAAAU